GGAACCUGGAAGCCUAGGCAGGCAGUGGGGAACUCUGACUCGCCUGUGCUCUGGAGCUUGAUCCGAAAGCUUCCACAGUGAGGACUGCUCCGUGGGGGUAAGAGAGCACCAGGCACUGAGGCCUGGGAGUUCCACAGACCAACACCCCUGCUCCUGGCGGCUCCCACCCGGGACUUAGACCCUCAGGUCCCUAAUAUCCCGGAGGUGCUCUCAAUCAGAAAGGUCCUGCUCCGCUUCGCAGUGGAAUGGAACGGAUUUAGAAGCCUGCAGUAGGGGAGUGGGGAGUGGAGAGAGGGAGCCCAGAGUUACAGACGGCGGCGAGAGGAAGGAGGGGCGUCUUUAUUUUUUUAAGGCCCCAAAGAGUCUGAUGUUUACAAGACCAGAAAUGCCACGGCCGCGUCCUGGCAGAGAAAAGGCUGAAAUGGAGGACCGGCGCCUUCCUUAUAAGCUCGUUGGGGCCUAAGCCAGUACCGACCUGGUAGAAAAAGCAACCACGAAGCUAGAGAGAGAGCCAGAGGAGGGAAGAGAGCGCCAGACGAAGGUGAAAGCGAACCACGCAGAGAAAUGCAGGCAAGGGAGCAAGGCGGCAGUUCCCGGAACAAACGUGGCAGAGGGCAAGACGGGCACUCACAGACAGAGGUUUAUGUAUUUUUAUUUUUUAAAAUCUGAUUUGGUGUUCCAUGAGGAAAAGGGAAAAUCUAGGGAACGGGAGUACAGAGAGAAUAAUCCGGGUCCUAGCUCGCCACAUGAACGCCCAGAGAACGCUGGAAAAACCUGAGCGGGUGCCGGGGCAGCACCCGGCUCGGGUCAGCCACUGCCCCACACCGGGCCCACCAAGCCCCGCCCCUCGCGGCCACCGGGGCUUCCUUGCUCUUCUUAUCAUCUCCAUCUUUAUGAUGAGGCUUGUUAACAAGACCAGAGAGCUGGCCAAGCACCUCUAUCUCAGCCGCGCCCGCUCAGCCGAGCAGCGGUCGGUGGGGGGACUGGGAGGCGCUAAUUAAUUGAUUCCUUUGGACUGUAAAAUAUGGCGGCGUCUACACGGAACCCAUGGACUCAUAAACAAUAUAUCUGUUGGGCGUGAGUGCACUGUCUCUCAAAUAAUUUUUCCAUAGGCAAAUGUCAGAGGGUUCUGGAUUUUUAGUUGCUAAGGAAAGAUCCAAAUGGGACCAAUUUUAGGAGGCCCAAACAGAGUCCGUUCAGUGUCAGAAAAUGCUUCCCCAAAGGGGUUGGGAGUGUGUUUUGUUGGAAAAAAGCUUGGGUUAUAGGAAAGCCUUUCCCUGCUACUUGUGUAGACCCAGCCCAAUUUAAGAAUUACAAGGAAGCGAAGGGGUUGUGUAGGCCGGAAGCCUCUCUGUCCCGGCUGGAUGCAGGGGACUUGAGCUGCUCCGGAAUUUGAGAGGAACAUAGAAGCAAAGGUCCAGCCUUUGCUUCGUGCUGAUUCCUAGACUUAAGAUUCAAAAACAAAUUUUUAAAAGUGAAACCAGCCCUAGCCUUUGGAAGCUCUUGAAGGUUCAGCACCCACCCAGGAAUCCACCUGCCUGUUACACGCCUCUCCAAGACACAGUGGCACCGCUUUUCUAACUGGCAGCACAGAGCAACUCUAUAAUAUGCUUAUAUUAGGUCUAGAAGAAUGCAUCUUGAGACACAUGGGUAACCUAAUUAUAUAAUGCUUGUUCCAUACAGGAGUGAUUAUGCAGUGGGACCCUGCUGCAAACGGGACUUUGCACUCUAAAUAUAGACCCCAGCUUGGGACAAAAGUUGCAGUAGAAAAAUAGACAUAGGAGAACACUUAAAUAAGUGAUGCAUGUAGACACAGAAGGGGUAUUUAAAAGACAGAAAUAAUAGAAGUACAGAAGAACAGAAAAAAAAUCAGCAGAUGGAGAUUACCAUUCCCAAUGCCUGAACUUCCUCCUGCUAUUAAGAUUGCUAGAGAAUUGUGUCUUAAACAGUUCAUGAACCCAGAAGAAUGCAAUUUCAAUGUAUUUAGUACACACACAGUAUGUAUAUAAACACAACUCACAGAAUAUAUUUUCCAUACAUUGGGUAGGUAUGCACUUUGUGUAUAUAUAAUAAUGUAUUUUCCAUGCAGUUUUAAAAUGUAGAUAUAUUAAUAUCUGGAUGCAUUUUCUGUGCACUGGUUUUAUAUGCCUUAUGGAGUAUAUACUCACAUGUAGCUAAAUAGACUCAGGACUGCACAUUCCUUGUGUAGGUUGUGUGUGUGUGGUGGUUUUAUGCAUAAAUAAAGUUUUACAUGUGG
rnacentral:lncRNA from 1 species